rnacentral:rRNA from 1 species
UGCAGUCGAGCGAACAGACGAGGAGCUUGCUCCUCUGACGUUAGCGGCGGACGGGUGAGUAACACGUGGAUAACCUACCUAUAAGACUGGGAUAACUUCGGGAAACCGGAGCUAAUACCGGAUAAUAUAUUGAACCGCAUGGUUCAAUAGUGAAAGACGGUUUUGCUGUCACUUAUAGAUGGAUCCGCGCCGCAUUAGCUAGUUGGUAAGGUAACGGCUUACCAAGGCAACGAUGCGUAGCCGACCUGAGAGGGUGAUCGGCCACACUGGAACUGAGACACGGUCCAGACUCCUACGGGAGGCAGCAGUAGGGAAUCUUCCGCAAUGGGCGAAAGCCUGACGGAGCAACGCCGCGUGAGUGAUGAAGGUCUUCGGAUCGUAAAACUCUGUUAUUAGGGAAGAACAAAUGUGUAAGUAACUAUGCACGUCUUGACGGUACCUAAUCAGAAAGCCACGGCUAACUACGUGCCAGCAGCCGCGGUAAUACGUAGGUGGCAAGCGUUAUCCGGAAUUAUUGGGCGUAAAGCGCGCGUAGGCGGUUUUUUAAGUCUGAUGUGAAAGCCCACGGCUCAACCGUGGAGGGUCAUUGGAAACUGGAAAACUUGAGUGCAGAAGAGGAAAGUGGAAUUCCAUGUGUAGCGGUGAAAUGCGCAGAGAUAUGGAGGAACACCAGUGGCGAAGGCGACUUUCUGGUCUGUAACUGACGCUGAUGUGCGAAAGCGUGGGGAUCAAACAGGAUUAGAUACCCUGGUAGUCCACGCCGUAAACGAUGAGUGCUAAGUGUUAGGGGGUUUCCGCCCCUUAGUGCUGCAGCUAACGCAUUAAGCACUCCGCCUGGGGAGUACGACCGCAAGGUUGAAACUCAAAGGAAUUGACGGGGACCCGCACAAGCGGUGGAGCAUGUGGUUUAAUUCGAAGCAACGCGAAGAACCUUACCAAAUCUUGACAUCCUCUGACCCCUCUAGAGAUAGAGUUUUCCCCUUCGGGGGACAGAGUGACAGGUGGUGCAUGGUUGUCGUCAGCUCGUGUCGUGAGAUGUUGGGUUAAGUCCCGCAACGAGCGCAACCCUUAAGCUUAGUUGCCAUCAUUAAGUUGGGCACUCUAAGUUGACUGCCGGUGACAAACCGGAGGAAGGUGGGGAUGACGUCAAAUCAUCAUGCCCCUUAUGAUUUGGGCUACACACGUGCUACAAUGGACAAUACAAAGGGYAGCGAAACCGCGAGGUCAAGCAAAUCCCAUAAAGUUGUUCUCAGUUCGGAUUGUAGUCUGCAACUCGACUAUAUGAAGCUGGAAUCGCUAGUAAUCGUAGAUCAGCA